CCUACGGGAGGCAGCAGUGGGGAAUAUUGGACAAUGGGCGAAAGCCUGAUCCAGCCAUGCCGCGUGUGUGAAGAAGGCCUUCGGGUUGUAAAGCACUUUCAGUGGGGAAGAAAGCCUUGGGGCUAAUACCCUCGAGGAAGGACAUCACCCACAGAAGAAGCACCGGCUGAACUCCGUGCCAGCAGCCGCGGUAAUACGGAGGGUGCGAGCGUUAAUCGGAAUUACUGGGCGUAAAGCGCGCGUAGGCGGUCUGAUAAGCCGGUUGUGAAAGCCCCGGGCUCAACCUGGGAACGGCAUCCGGAACUGUCAGGCUAGAGUGCAGGAGAGGAAGGUAGAAUUCCCGGUGUAGCGGUGAAAUGCGUAGAGAUCGGGAGGAAUACCAGUGGCGAAGGCGGCCUUCUGGACUGACACUGACGCUGAGGUGCGAAAGCGUGGGUAGCAAACAGGAUUAGAUACCCGUGUAGUC
rnacentral:rRNA from 1 species